AAGUCGUAACAAGGUUUCCGUAGGUGAACCUGCGGAAGGAUCAUUAAUGAAUUUGGGUGCUCCUUGAGAGGCCCGACCUUCAUCUUUCCACCCUGUGCACUAUUUUUUUUUGUAAUCUUUGUAGAGACGUUUAAUCACCUCUCGCUAAUACAAUUUUUACAAUCAAUUUUUAAACUCUAUAAAAGUCUAAGAAUGUUACAAAGUUAUAAACCAAAUAAAACUUUCAACAACGGAUCUCUUGGCUCUC
rnacentral:misc_RNA from 1 species